AUGAUCAUGCCCUGCAAAAAUUCAAACCAAUGAUUAUCCAAGCAACAAUCCAAAUCAGUUUGGUUCAAUAACGCAUAUCCACAGUUGGAUCAAAGAAUUGGAAGCAAAUGGAUUAGAGAAUUAAACUUAUGGCAAAUCCCACGUGAUUUAAUGACUUAAAGCUCACCUUCACUUAGAUGCCAGCUGGACGAAUCAGAUUUAACUUCAGAUCCAAUUCUCCAAAUUGCCCUCUUGGAUCAAGCUAUAUAAGAGGCAAUCAUUGCCAAUCAUUGGGGUUGAGACUUUUUUCCCCUCAUUCGAAAAGCAUUUUGCACUCAAUUCCCACCUUCAGUACACGCUCAUUUUCCAUUGUUGUGAGAGCUUCAUCACUCGAAGCUCUACACGACAGAGCUAAGCCACUGCCACCGCCGGAAGCUUCAAAGCUUGAAGAUCGUUAUCACUCGCACGCUUCCAAUCCGUUUCAACAUUGCGAGAAGAGGAAGAGAGGCGCUCAGAAGUUGUGCUCGUGACCUUCG
rnacentral:lncRNA from 1 species